GAUGAAGAACGUAGCGAAAUGCGAUAAGUAAUGUGAAUUGCAGAAUUCAGUGAAUCAUCGAAUCUUUGAACGCACAUUGCGCCUGCCAGUACUCUGGCGGGCAUGCCUGUUCGAGCGUCAUUUCAACCAUCAAGCCCUGCUUGCGUUGGGGUCCUGCGGCUGCCCGCAGGCCCUGAAAACCAGUGGCGGGCUCGCUAGUCACACCGAGCGCAGUAAUACAUCUCGCUUUGGGCGUGCGGCGGGUUCUUGCCGUUAAACACCCCCUUUUUACCAAGGUUGACCUCGGAUCAGGUAGGAAUACCCGCUGAACUUAAGCAUAUCAAUAAGCGGAGGA
rnacentral:misc_RNA from 1 species